rnacentral:lncRNA from 1 species
UGCUGGUGGAGUCUGAAGUUGUCAUGCAGUGACUCAUGCAAGCUUAGGCAGAUUUGGUGAUAUAUGACACAGAGAUGCAAAGAAAUGUUGUAGCUGACACACACCGGCUGGCUCUGGGAGAUGCAGAAGGAGCACGUCACCCAAAAUAGAGCCAGACAGACAUCCUUAAGGAAAGAGCCAAGGGGCUGCAUCUUAAAGAAUGAAGAAAGGAUUUGUCAUGAGAGAUGGG